AAAAAACGGCAAAUCCAUAAAGAAAAUACACUCUUAUGAAAAAUUCUUAUUGAAGUUUUGGCGAUAUGUAACCCCUAGAAUUAAAAAAUAAUAAUUUUCUGGGGAAUCCUCUCACUGUCGAAUGACGAGAUAAAAUGCAAAUUUCCCGCUUUGGGCGCAUGCGCAAGAAUCUAGGCAAGUAGAACGUAAACAUAAGCGGCAGAAACAUGGCUUCCGAAGCCAAGAGAUGUCGGCCUAGAAUUGUAACGAGUUCGGCAACAUAGCGACGUAAAUAGAAAUGGUCACAGGUCAACCCGAUUAUACGACUGGGGAAACAACCCACUAGGUGGAAGACAUUCAAUGAAGAAAAUAGUUUCUCUACAAACGAGCAUGCAGCACGGAUUCUUCUGGAUAAGUGUGCACUUCAUUGACACAAGAAGUUCAUGCAGGUGAAGACAUCCCGACACCAGCUGAAACUUCUAUGGGACCGCCAUCACAUGUGUGCACCCCUACACCAGUAACAUCUACGCCUGCACAUGCCCAUAAAGAACCUAUAGCUAUAGAUAGACCUCCGAUGUCUCAGAUAUAGAAGCUCAGUCAUCACACUCGUCUGAUUUAUCUUGUGUGGAAGCAUUACAAUCAGACUCCUAGAGUAACAUUAAUGCCAGCUUGCUUUCCCAUUACCAACAGAAGGCUAAAGAGGAUGACACCUCAUUUAUUGAUAUACCUCAGACACAUCAACCUGAACACUUGCCAAUGGCUGAAGAUCCCAUAGAAAUUGAAGAGGUUGAUGUUGAUGAUGAGCUUGCAGAGGAUGAAGGAGACAUUGUGGAAACAGACACUCAAAAUGAUAGUGUUGAAGAAAGGAAAUCCAUAUGCUUCCAAAGUGCUCUGUUGUAACUCACUACAGUUCGAAUACCCACAACUUGUCAAAGAAAAGCAUGUGGUGCAAAUAUCAUUCUCCAAUGGAGAUAUGUUGGAUGUGCAGUACAGUUUAAAUGAAUUGGAGGAGCAGCAUUUGGUUCUAGUCCUGGAUCCUCUGGUUCACCUACAUUUUCGCAAAGGUCAAAAACUAGGCCUGGCUGACGAUACACUAGCUGAAGAACUAAAUUUAUCAGUGGCUUUUGGUCCAUCCUUCUGAUUAU